rnacentral:rRNA from 1 species
GAUGAACGCUGGCGGCGUGCCUAAUACAUGCAAGUCGAGCGAACAGACGAGGAGCUUGCUCCUCUGACGUUAGCGGCGGACGGGUGAGUAACACGUGUAUAACCUACCUAUAAGACUGGGAUAACUUCGGGAAACCGGAGCUAAUACCGGAUAAUAUAUUGAACCGCAUGGUUCAAUAGUGAAAGACGGUUUUGCUGUCACUUAUAGAUGGAUCCGCGCCGCAUUAGCUAGUUGGUAAGGUAACGGCUUACCAAGGCAACGAUGCGUAGCCGACCUGAGAGGGUGAUCGGCCACACUGGAACUGAGACACGGUCCAGACUCCUACGGGAGGCAGCAGUAGGGAAUCUUCUGCAAUGGGCGAAAGCCUGACGGAGCAACGCCGCGUGAGUGAUGAAGGUCUUCGGAUCGUAAAACUCUGUUAUUAGGGAAGAACAAAUGUGUAAGUAACUAUGCACGUCUUGACGGUACCUAAUCAGAAAGCCACGGCUAACUACGUG